rnacentral:rRNA from 1 species
AUUGAACGCUGGCGGCAGCCCUAACACAUGCAAGUCGAGCGGAUGACAGGAGCUUGCUCCUGGAUUCAGCGGCGGACGGGUGAGUAAUGCCUAGGAAUCUGCCUGGUAGUGGGGGACAACGUUUCGAAAGGAACGCUAAUACCGCAUACGUCCUACGGGAGAAAGCAGGGGACCUUCGGGCCUUGCGCUAUCAGAUGAGCCUAGGUCGGAUUAGCUAGUUGGUGAGGUAAUGGCUCACCAAGGCGACGAUCCGUAACUGGUCUGAGAGGAUGAUCAGUCACACUGGAACUGAGACACGGUCCAGACUCCUACAGGAGGCAGCAGUGGGGAAUAUUGGACAAUGGGCGAAAGCCUGAUCCAGCCAUGCCGCGUGUGUGAAGAAGGUCUUCGGAUUGUAAAGCACUUUAAGUUGGGAGGAAGGGUUGUAGAUUAAUACUCUGCAAUUUUGACGUUACCGACAGAAUAAGCACCGGCUAACUCUGUGCCAGCCGCCGCCGUAACAC